rnacentral:rRNA from 1 species
CCUACGGGAGGCAGCAGUGAGGAAUAUUGGGCAAUGGACGAGAGUCUGAACCAGCCAAGUCGCGUGAAGGAUGACUGCCCUAUGGUUUGUAAACUUCUUUUAUAUGGGAAUAAAAUGUUCAGCGUGUGGGAUUUUGUAUGUACCAUAUGAAUAAGGAUCGGCUAACUCCGUGCCAGCAGCCGCGGUAAUACGGAGGAUCCGAGCGUUAUCCGGAUUUAUUGGGUUUAAAGGGAGCGUAGGUGGAUUGUUAAGUCAGUUGUGAAAGUUUGCGGCUCAACCGUAAAAUGGCAGUUGAAACUGGCAGUCUUGAGUACAGUAGAGGUGGGCGGAAUUCGUGGUGUAGCGGUGAAAUGCUUAGAUAUAACGAAGAACUCCGAUUGCGAAGGCAGUUCACUGGACUGCAACUGACACUGAGGCUCGAAAGUGUGGGUAUCAAACAGGAUUAGAUACCCGAGUAGUC